rnacentral:rRNA from 1 species
AUUGAACGCUGGCGGCAGGCCUAACACAUGCAAGUCGAACGGUAACAGGAAACAGCUUGCUGUUUCGCUGACGAGUGGCGGACGGGUGAGUAAUGUCUGGGAAACUGCCUGAUGGAGGGGGAUAACUACUGGAAACGGUAGCUAAUACCGCAUAACUUCGCAAGACCAAAGAGGGGGACCAUCGGGCCUCUUGCCAUCGGAUGUGCCCAGAUGGGAUUGGCUUGUUGGUGGGGUAACGGCUCACCAAGGCGACCAUCCCUAGCUGGUCUGAGAGGAUGACCAGCCACACUGGAACUGAGACACGGUCCAGACUCCUACGGGAGGCAGCAGUGGGGAAUAUUGCACAAUGGGCGCAAGCCUGAUGCAGCCAUGCCGAGUGUAUGAAGAAGGCCUUCGGGUUGUAAAGUACUUUCAGCGGGGAGGAAGGGAGUAAAGUUAAUACCUUUGCUCAUUGACGUUACCCGAAGAAGAAGCACCGGCUAACUCCGUG